rnacentral:rRNA from 1 species
UGAGGAAUAUUGGUCAAUGGGCGCAAGCCUGAACCAGCCAUCCCGCGUGCAGGAAGACGGCCCUAUGGGUUGUAAACUGCUUUUCCAGGAAGAGAAACUUGCGUACGAGUUACGUAAUUGACGGUAUCCUGGGAAUAAGCAUCGGCUAACUCCGUGCCAGCAGCCGCGGUAAUACGGAGGAUGCGAGCGUUAUCCGGAUUCAUUGGGUUUAAAGGGUGCGUAGGCGGACUAUUAAGUCAGUGGUGAAAUCCUGCAGCUUAACUGCAGAACUGCCGUUGAUACUGAUAGUCUUGAGUUUGGUUAAGGUAGGCGGAAUGUGUAAUGUAGCGGUGAAAUGCUUAGAUAUUACACAGAACACCAAUUGCGUAGGCAGCUUACUGAGCCGACACUGACGCUGAGGCACGAAAGCGUGGGGAUCGAACA